CUUGCAAUUCUCCCAGCCGACCUCCCUCGUGAUAGGGUUUGAGAGAGAACGCGCGACAGCCGCAGCCGCAGCCGCAUCCGCCGCUUCGUUUUAUCUCUUCUUCUCUCGAAUUUUAGGUAAGGUGCAAACUCAAAUGGACCUUGAUUGGUCGGGUUAAGCGGAUAUUGAGCAAUCAAUGUAUAUUCAUGUGAGUUGAUUCAUAUAGAGAUGAUAAUUGACACGGUUGAUAUAAUAAAGGCAUGAUAGUAGAUUUGUUGUUAA